rnacentral:rRNA from 1 species
GAUGAACGCUGGCGGCGUGCCUAAUACAUGCAAGUCGAGCGAACAGACGAGGAGCUUGCUCCUCUGACGUUAGCGGCGGACGGGUGAGUAACACGUGGAUAACCUACCUAUAAGACUGGGAUAACUUCGGGAAACCGGAGCUAAUACCGGAUAAUAUAUUGAACCGCAUGGUUCAAUAGUGAAAGACGGUUUUGCUGUCACUUAUAGAUGGAUCCGCGCCGCAUUAGCUAGUUGGUAAGGUAACGGCUUACCAAGGCAACGAUGCGUAGCCGACCUGAGAGGGUGAACGGCCACCCUGGAACUGAGACAGGGUCCCGACUCCUACGGGAGGCAGCAGUAGGGAAUCUUCCGCAAUGGGCGAGAGCCUGACGGAGCAACGCCGCGUGAGUGAUGAAGGUCUUCGGAUCGGAAAACUAUGUUAUUAGGGAAGAACAAAUGUGUAAGUAACUAUGCACGUCUUGACGGUACCUAAUCAGAAAGCCACGGCUAACUACGUG